rnacentral:snRNA from 1 species
AUCGCUUCUCGGUCUUUCAGCUAAGGUCAAGUGUAAAUUCUUUCCUU